rnacentral:lncRNA from 1 species
ACCAAACUGAAAGGAGGCGUAACUCGUGUUCUAGCCCCUUUCAACCUAAGUGAGACAUCCUUAUAGGUCCCCAGGGAUAUCAGUAGGCAAAUAAAAAGGGAAAGUGGUUGUUAUUACUUACUCGAAAAUGAGAUUGGAAUGUUAUUUUAGUUAUUGUGUCUCUAUAUCGAUUUUAAAAAUUUCGCAAUGGUAAAUAUAUGUAAUA